GACGAACGCUGGCGGCGUGCCUAAUACAUGCAAGUCGAACGAAGCUGUUUUAACUGGUGCUUGCACCGACUUAAACAACUGAGUGGCGAACGGGUGAGUAACACGUGGGUAACCUGCCCCAAAGCGGGGGAUAACAUUUGGAAACAGAUGCUAAUACCGCAUAACCACAGAAACCACAUGGUUUCUGCGUCAAAGAUGGUUUCGGCUAUCACUUUGGGAUGGACCCGCGGCGUAUUAGCUAGUUGGUAAGGUAAUGGCUUACCAAGGCAAUGAUAAGUAGACGAACUGAGAGGUUGAUCGGCCACAUUGGGACUGAGACACGGCCCAAACUCCUACGGGAGGCAGCAGUAGGGAAUCUUCCACAAUGGACGAAAGUCUGAUGGAGCAACGCCGCGUGAGUGAAGAAGGUUUUCGGAUCGUAAAACUCUGUUGUCAGAGAAGAACGUGUGCGAGAGUAACUGUUCGUGCAGUGACGGUAUCUGGCCAGGAAGCCACGGCUAACUACGUGCCAGCCGCCGCCGUAA
rnacentral:rRNA from 1 species